rnacentral:rRNA from 1 species
AUAUAGUAAGGGAAAACAUAUGAUAUUACUUUACUUAUAGUGUUGUCUAAUUCUGGUGCCAGAAGACUCGGUAAUACCAGUAACGCGAACGUUAGUCAUCUUUAUCAGGCGUAAAGGGUUUGUAGGCAGCUUUUAAAAAAAAGGUUUUAACUAAAAAAAAUAAAAAAUAGUUAAGUCUCUAAUUUGAGAGCUAGAAUCAAAUAGAAGUUAAAAAGUAUAAUACUUAGAGAAGGGUUGAUAUUCUUAGAACCUAAGGGGAAUACUAAAGGUGUAAACAACUAACUAUAAAUGAUUGACGCUGAGACACGAAGGUGAGGAUAGGAAAUAGGAUUAGAUACCCCGGUACCCCUCUCUGUAAACGAUGAAUGGUAGUUAUUAGUGUAUUACUGGUAACGAUGCUAACGCGUUAACCAUUCCGCCUUGGGAGUACGAUUGCAAAGUUGAAAACAAAAAAAUUAGUCGGUCUCGGAGCAAACGGAGUGAAG